GUGUCAGCCGCCGCGGUAAUACGGAGGGGGCUAGCGUUGUUCGGAAUUACUGGGCGUAAAGCGCACGUAGGCGGGUCGCUAAGUCGGGGGUGAAAUCCUGGGGCUCAACCUCAGAACUGCCUUCGAUACUGGCGACCUUGAGUACGGGAGAGGUGAGUGGAAUUCCCAGUGUAGAGGUGAAAUUCGUAGAUAUUGGGAAGAACACCAGUGGCGAAGGCGGCUCACUGGCCCGUAACUGACGCUGAGGUGCGAAAGCGUGGGGAGCAAACAGGAUUAGAUACCCUAGUAGUCC
rnacentral:rRNA from 1 species